UCUUGAGACAAAUCUCGUACUUGUCGUCAAUAGAAUGCUCGUGGCCGAGUUGUCUAGUGUUUCUGGCUUCGUGACAGGAGGGAGUCUCAAAUUGCCUUUCUGACGUUCUAUCAUCGAUUGCCUUUUUGGAACCUGAGUUCGAAAAUUAAACAAUCCACCAAAUGGCUUCAUUGUGUUUUCUAACCUUUGUGUGCAGGGAAGAAUCGAGUGAGCAAAUGCUGCUGCGUUCCACGACUUAAUCUACGACUUCGUGCCUUCGAUCGCCCGCACCCCUAUAAAUAGGUAACAGUCGUCCAGUCAUUUGGUUGUGCCAACUUCCCCCUGCCUCUUGUGGCGACGGUCGACAACUUUGGAAUUCGCUGCGGGCUUCGCCAUCGUCAUUACCUUUCCAUGCCUUCGACACCGUCGAGGUCAAGUUGCAAGGUCACCACGCAAAAACACAAAAGUCAAGGAAUAGGAGGAGGCUUUACAAUGCACUAGUCGGAUCUUUGAUUACUCAAGGAGCAUACUUUUAAGCCAAGCUCAGAUCAGAUCAGCGGUGGGUGCUCUUGGUUUCACCACUAUAAAGCCUGCACAAGAGAAACAAUGCACGAGGCAGAAGAAACCAUGACAUGAAAAGGGUGUAAUAUAAUGAUGGAUAUGUAUAAUGAUACGAUACAAUCUGAUACCAGUCAUAGACGGU